UCUUGAUCGUGCUCGAGUCACAUGAGCGCUGUUCACGUGAUGUUUGUGGAAACAGUUCCACAUUGAUCAGAUUCACCAGACGCUUAUAAAGAACACUCAGAACCUGAACGCGUUUUUGAGUCAGGAGGAAGAGAAAGAGGAAGAGGAAGAGGAGGAGGAGACAGAUGGUCGAGUGUCUACAGAUGGGUUUCUCUCUCAUUAUCUGCCGGAGCUGACGUAGCUAUGUCUGACACUACAUCCCAUAAUGCAAUGUGCUCGACUCCACCUUCCAUUUCCUGUGUGACAGGAAGUCUGUGAUUUUUGACACUAAUGUUUGUGGGCACAUUGGGUUUUGUCUUCUCCAGAUGUUCACUGAUGGACUGGAGUGCUGUGUAUUAUUGUGUUUUUAUCAGCUGUUUGGACUCUUGUUCUGACGGCACCCAUUCCCUGCAGUGAUUGAGUGGAUGUUGGCGUUUGUGUAGAAGCAAGCGCUGAAGCUGCAGCAGCACAAGCAGAAGGAUGGUCAGAGACAAGGCUCCGCCCACCGAACAGAGACUCCGCCCCUGACGUCUGUAAAACAGUCAGACACACUCUGAUGUUCGUCACAUUCAGGCAUGCACUGCGACUCUUGGUGGAAAUGUGCCAAACUCUUCAUUUUCAUCAUCAUCACAUGCAUUUCUGUCCAGAUAAAUAAGAAUAAUAAAGGAAUAAAACUCUAA